UACGUAGGGGCAAGCGUUGUCCGGAUUUAUUGGGCGUAAAGAGCGUGUAGGCGGCCAGAUAGGUCAGCUGUGAAAACUCGAGGCUCAACCUCGAGAUGUCGGCUGAAACCAUCUGGCUAGAGUCCGGAAGAGGAGUGUGGAAUUUCUGGUGUAGCGGUGAAAUGCGCAGAUAUCAGGAAGAACACCUAUGGCGAAGGCAGCACUCUGGGACGGUACUGACGCUGAGACGCGAAAGCGUGGGGAGCGAACAGG
rnacentral:rRNA from 1 species